UACAGAGGGUGCGAGCGUUAAUCGGAGUACUUGGGCGUAAAGGGCAUGUAGGUGGUUUAUCGGGUUUAAUGUGAAAGCCCUGGGCUUAACCUAGGAAUGGCGUUAAAGACAGAUAGACUGGAGUCGGACAGAGGGCAGUGGAAUUCUCGGUGUAGCGGUGAAAUGCGUAGAGAUCGGGAGGAACACCGAUGGCGAAGGCAAUCCCCUGGGCCUGCACUGACGCUCAUGCACGAAAGCGUGGGGAGCAAACAGG
rnacentral:rRNA from 1 species